UUCAUCUUUAGAGUCUUCUAUGGGUAUUGAAAUCUCUUGUUGUAUUUGUUUUUCACUCCAAUUCCAACUUGACUUUUCAUCAAACACAACAAUUCUACUAAUUAUUACUUUGCCAUUAUUAUACAACCUGUAUGCUUUGGAUUCAAGAAAAUAACAGAUGAAAAUACAUUUUUGUGAUUUUUUAUCUAGUUUUUGACGAGUUUAAG
rnacentral:lncRNA from 1 species